CAUAACCUGUACGACUGGCGGAUAAAUGGGAUUACCCAUAGGGAGUACAGAAAACAUCAAAUGCCGACCGCCUGGGCGACCACU
rnacentral:ncRNA from 1 species